AAUAGCCAAAGAUAACGGCAGGAUUCAGGGUGGGGUUAGUGAUGACACGAACAUCACCACCGCCUGGGGCCCAAGUGUCGUAAACGCCACCUAGGAAACAAGCCUUAAUCACCAGCAAAAACGCACCCAGUCCUAGCAGAAUUAGGUGGUAGCCGAUGAUAUUAGUCAUCUGAUUUUUGUCUUUCCA
rnacentral:antisense_RNA from 1 species